GAGCCAUGUGGCAGGGGAGCUGUGUGGAACAAGAGUAAGAUCUAAGCUUGUCCAAACUCCAAAAGCCCCGUCUUAAUACUGGAAGGAUGAAGAUUGUUCUCUCAUGCCUGGCCCUCAUGUCCCGGCCCAUCCAACCUUAUGACCCCAUUACCUCUGCCACCCUUGAGGUGGUCACAAGCACCUGGAAUUCCUCUUUAUGCAAACAAAGUAGGAUCUCAGCCCCAGCCAAUGACAUACACUUACCCUGAAAGCCUCUACCUAGUUCCCAAAGGUUUAAAUGGUUCUUGUUCCACACCCCCUCCCCCAGUUAAAUGAUGUGCUCAGUGAAGCCUGCUUCCUGAGAAGUCUGUUUCUCACAGCGCUCACCCAUUGCCUAAGGUCUCCAUCACCUCUUCUUCCUCCCCCAAGCCUGGCCACCCUUGCCCAGCUUCCCCUCUCUGGCCACUGGUCUGAUCCCCUUUGAUCAAGGUGUUAAGGGAGGGGGAGUGGGGCGGGAAUUACCAUCAAAUCUGGGCCCCAGGAGUAACUUUUAAAGGCAUCAGUUAUACACGUACCUGUCUGCUUUAUUACAUGACCUAGAAGGUGUUUAAGAUAUACUGGUCAAAAGAUAAGCUCCAAGAGUGACAGCACCCUACUUUAACCCCUUUAAUCUCUUUUCCUUUUAACACAGAGAGAAACCCCAUUUCAACAAACAAACAAACAUAACAACACUCAAACAAGCCAACAGAAAGGGAGAAACACACCUGUGGUAUUCUGGCUGCUCCUUGUGGCAUCCAUGAACUUGUGCUGGUUCAGCAGAGCCUCAGGGUUCCUUCUGGAUCAAGCCCCUGACACUGCUGAUAUCCUGACAUUGAAGAUAGGAAUUACCCUGAAGAACGACUUUUAAACAGGCUCACAUCCCUGUUUCCUAUUAACCUUUCCUUCCCUCUACCUUUGACAGGUGGUUCUAAAGGAAGCCAGAGUUAAGAAUCAUACCUCAAGGAGGGAGGGGAAGUUGCCAUAGGGAUUUAAAUUUAAAAAUUAAUUAAAAGUGAAUAAAAUAAAAGAAUUUUACCUCCAAUCAAAACCCCUAAGUGUACAGAGUAACAGAGGGAAAGAAAUAGAUUCACAC
ensembl:lncRNA